UCCAAUCUCCUUUCAGGCAGUUGUAGAGAACUAGAUCUCCUCUGAGGCUCAGUUCUCUCAACCACCUCUCAUGAGACCUGUGCUCUAAACCCCUCAUCAGCUUCAUUCUUUGGAUCCACUCCAGCACCUCAAUGUCCUUCUUGUAGCAAGGAACCCAAAACUGAACAUGGUCACUGGGGAGAACCUGACCUGUGCCUGAGCUCACAGAAAGGAGCCUGCAAACCACCAUCAACAGGGUUGUUCUGCUUCAGAAGAGGAGAUCACUACUGGGGAAUUCAGUGAAGGAAUACAGUGACAUGGUGGAGCAGAUAAGAGGGGAAUACAAGGGGCAAAUGCCACAGGAAGAGAGGAAACACUUUUGUCGACAGCAAAUCCACUGCUAGUCUCAAAAGGGCAACCCUCCUAACAAACUUGAUGGUGUGUUCUGCCUUGGGCAGAAACUGCUGAGUGUUAUGUACAGUGCUUGAACUUGAUUACUUCACGUUGUGCCACUCUAAUCACUCCUGAGUGUUAAUGUAUGUGUGUUAAG